rnacentral:rRNA from 1 species
CCCUUAGAUGUUCUGGGCCGCACGCGUGCUACACUGAGUGGAUCAGCGGGUCAGGUUGCGCGAAAGUGUUUCCUAAUCUUUAAAUCCGCGCGUGAUGGGGAUUGACGGUUGCAAUUUUCCGUCAUGAACGAGGAAUACCUUGUAAGCGCGGGUCAUCAUCCCGCGCUGAAUACGUCCCUGCCCUUUGUACACACCGCCCGUCGCUCCUACCGAUUGAGUGGUCCGGUGAGGCUUUGGGAUCUGAGCGGAAAGAGCGUUUCGCUGUUUCUGCCCGGAAAACUCAGUCGAACCUUAUCAUUUAGAGGAAGGAGAAGUCGUAACA